rnacentral:misc_RNA from 1 species
GAUGAAGAACGUAGUGAAAUGCGAUAAUUAAUGUGAAUUGCAGAAUUCAGUGAAUCAUCGAGUCUUUGAACGCACAUUGCGCCCCCUGGUAUUCCGGGGGGCAUGCCUGUCCGAGCGUCAUUGCUGCCCUCAAGCACGGCUUGUGUGUUGGGCUUCCGUCCCUGGCAACGGGGACGGGCCCAAAAGGCAGUGGCGGCACCAUGUCUGGUCCUCGAGCGUAUGGGGCUUUGUCACCCGCUCCCGUAGGUCCAGCUGGCAGCUAGCCUCGCAACCAAUCUUUUUAACCAGGUUGACCUCGGAUCAGGUAGGGAUACCCGCUGAACUUAAGCAUAUCUAUAAGCGGAGGA